AUUGAACGCUGGCGGCAGGCUUAACACAUGCAAGUCGAGCGGGGGAAGGUAGCUUGCUACCGGACCUAGCGGCGGACGGGUGAGUAAUGCUUAGGGAUCUGCCUAUUAGUGGGGGACAACAUCUCGAAAGGGAUGCUAAUACCGCAUACGUCCUACGGGAGAAAGCAGGGGAUCUUUGGACCUUGCGCUAAUAGAUGAGCCUAAGUCGGAUUAGCUAGUUGGUGGGGUAAAGGCCUACCAAGGCGACGAUCUGUAGCGGGUCUGAGAGGAUGAUCCGCCACACUGGGACUGAGACACGGCCCAGACUCCUACGGGAGGCAGCAGUGGGGAAUAUUGGACAAUGGGGGGAACCCUGAUCCAGCCAUGCCGCGUGUGUGAAGAAGGCCUUAUGGUUGUAAAGCACUUUAAGCGAGGAGGAGGCUACUUUAGUUAAUACCUAGAGAUAGUGGACGUUACUCGCAGAAUAAGCACCGGCUAACUCUGUGCCAGCCGCCGCAGUAA
rnacentral:rRNA from 1 species